rnacentral:tRNA from 1 species
GGCACUGUGGCUCAGGGGUAGAGUGCUUGUCUUUCAUGCAUGUGGCCUUGGGUUUGAUUCCUCGGUACCA